rnacentral:rRNA from 1 species
UACGUAGGGUGCAAGCGUUAAUCGGAAUUACUGGGCGUAAAGCGUGCGCAGGCGGUUUUGGAAGUCUGUUGUGAAAUCCCCGGGCUUAACCUGGGAAUGGCAAUGGAGACUGCAAGGCUAGAGUUUGGCAGAGGGGGGUAGAAUUCCACGUGUAGCAGUGAAAUGCGUAGAGAUGUGGAGGAACACCGAUGGCGAAGGCAGCCCCCUGGGUCAAGACUGACGCUCAUGCACGAAAGCGUGGGGAGCAAACAGG